rnacentral:rRNA from 1 species
CCUACGGGUGGCAGCAGUGGGGAAUAUUGGGCAAUGGGCGCAAGCCUGACCCAGCAACGCCGCGUGAAGGAAGAAGGCUUUCGGGUUGUAAACUUCUUUUCUCAGGGACGAAGCAAGUGACGGUCCCUGAGGAAUAAGCUACGGCUAACUACGUGCCAGCAGCCGCGGCAAUACGUAGGUGGCAAGCGUUCGCCGGAUCUACUGGGUGUAAAGGGCGGGUAGGCGGGACUGCAAGUCAGAUGUGAAAACCACGGGCUCAACCUGUGGCCUGCAUUUGAAACUGUAGUUCUUGAGUACUGGAGAGGCAGCCGGAAUUCCUGGUGUAGCGGUGAAAUGCGUAGAUAUUAGGAGGAACACCAGUGGCGAAGGCGGUCUGCUGGACAGCAACUGACGCUGAGGCGCGAAAGCGUGGGGAGCAAACAGGAUUAGAUACCCGUGUAGUC